UACGUAGGAGACGAGCGUUGUCCGGAGUUACUGGGCGUAAAGGGUGCGCAGGUGGCGGCGCGCGUGGGGGGUGAAAUCGCCCGGCUUAACUGGGCGGGGGCCUUCCAGACGGCGUGGCUUGAGCAGCGGAGGGGGACGUGGAAUUCCGGGUGGAGCGGUGAAAUGCGUAGAGAUCCGGAGGAGCGCAGACGGCGUAGGCAGCGCCCUGGCUGUGAAUAAAGCUGACACUGAGGCACGAAAGCUGGGGGAGCAAACAGG
rnacentral:rRNA from 1 species